GAAAUUGCCAUCUAAAUUUAGGGAUUUUUAGAAAUGAAAUAGGUGUUGCAUUUUGCAUCUCGCUGGGAAAACCCUCGUUGUUGAUGCGAGCAUAUGGAUGGUGUUGUUUAUGAGAGCGAUGCGCGACGAGAAGGGGGAAAUGGUUCGCAACGCCCAUUUGCUGGGAUUUUUCCGACGCAUUUGCAAGCUUCUAUUCCUCCACACUAAACUGGUCUUCGUCUCCGACGGCGGGACCCCAUCCUCAAGCGCCGCACCGUCAUUGCCCGCCGCCGACAGCGCGAAAACGCUGGAGCUAAAGUCCGCAAAACUGCGGAGAAAUUGUUGCUCAAUCAUGUACGAUCGUUUUGUUGCCAAGUGUGAAAACUAUGAUCACUUUUUUGUCCCUAUUUUGGUGAUUUAAUUGGUUGUUCCGAUAGAAGGAAAAAAAAAAAAAAAGGUCAAUUCGCUUUGAAGUAGAAGAGUGUUGGAGGGAUUAGAAUCGAGAGCAGUUUAUUUAUUCAAUUGUCGGGUAUUUCCAUUCUUUGAUUCACCUCCAUGAGUGACAAAGAACAAAAACUCUUCAUCCA